rnacentral:pre_miRNA from 1 species
AGGAGGAACAGCCCCAGUGGCGGGGCCAGCUCUGGAGCCCUGGAGUCAGCCCCCGCAGGAACUCCGGAGCUCUCGGUCUGCAGUGCCUGGAGGCUGCGGGGCGGG